GGAGAAGGGUCUGUCUGCAGACUGCAAGACAGGGGCGUAACUUGAAGUGGGCGUAACUUGACGAAAGAGGCGUAACUUGAAGUUGUCCAAAUCACACAGAACCACGCGAGAUGUCAAAACGAGAUUUUGUCGGGCUGCAUUCGAAACCGCAUACCCUUUAAUUAGGCACUUAAUUUCAAUAAGAACUAAUUUAACGAGCGAUAAAAGAGUACAUACUCUACAGCCUGAAUGCGUAUUUGUGUAUGAAGCAUUAAUGCGAUUUGGAUAUCAUCAUACGCUAUGUUGAUCAUGUGACCUACAAAGUUAAAACGAGCGUAAAAACUUAAAAGAUAUGAGUGACAGGUUUAAUGAAUGUAUUUGUAUCUUGAUAAUUAAGAUUGUAGUAUAGCCAAUACUGUUAAUUUAAGUUUUUAUAUUUUUAACUCCACUAAUGUGAUUUUUUAUAGAAUUAGAAAACCCAAAAUCGUUAUCUCUAGAAUAUUUUUUCAAUUAUUUUAUGUGAAUUUUUUUUCUUGUAUAGUAUCUCAUACUAUGAUGAACACGUUAUUUUUUUUAUUUACUGUUUUAUGGCGUUAAGAUUGUUAUUGUUAGAUACAACCGUCUUACCAUGAUCUUUUAUGUAAUAAGUUUGGCAAUAAUAAUAAAAAAGAGGUACAGGUGCACUACCACCUCACAGCAUCACUAACUCAACAGUCCAGUACAGUCUCUCUCAGCGACUCUGCAAUAUCUGCACAAACGAAACGUCGAACAGCUGCUCAAAGAUCUCACCUUUGGAGAAGAUUGUUGAUUUUAUACUCUAAAAAUACGGUGAACCCCACAUCUUACUAUCAUCUCAACACAGCUGAGACAGUUCUGCUGCUGCGCUGUGCUUCUCAGUCUCGCUCUUCUCAACGGGGAUGUCGUUGAGCAACAGGAUGAGGAAGACCUUGAUGACGGCUCUCUGAACCACACUACCUUGAAGCGAGAGCAGAAGAACACGUGCAGGACAAUCUGAUUGCUGCUGUGUCUGCUCCAAACAAUCGUGUGCUGCUCUCCAUGAGCACCACUACCUGUAAAACAUUUACACAGAGUUUACAAGUACAUGCAUUGAUUUAUUACUUUUGUAGUGUGCUAAACCACUGAACUGGUUCAAAACUGUCCUUGAGCACAGCUCUUUUCUCCAGGUUGAUCAGAGGAUUGUAGGCCCCUGUAAUAAGAGCACUGUCAAUCACUUCAGAUAAAAGCUCCAUCACAUUUUUUGAUGAUGCUUUUGAAGCUUCUGAAAGUCAGCCUUCGUCGUAUAAACAGAAACCAGCAGAACAAACUUUACCAAAAUCAAAUCCUCAGUGUCUUUUGGUCUUUCUCUAGAUGCUCUCACUGCUCUGGGGCCACUGAUGAUGAAGAGACCACAGCAGCAUCUGGUCCUGAUGAGACAGUAAGAGCUGGAGUGAUGGAGCGUCUCAUCCGUGUCUCUGGACCAUUUCCGGAUGCUGCAGUGGACUUCUCCAUCCUCAGUGCACACACCAGUCUGCAGACAUUUUCAUAACCUACAGAAAUACACACAAUACAAAAAGUCAUUACUUUAUUCUUUUGUUUCAGGUUUUUCCUUUUUUUCCCCUUUCCUUGCAGGUCCUGCUCCACCACAAAAGAUCUGCAGCAAAUGUACAGAAAUCAACAAUAAGAAAAGUGCUGUAAUAACUGUUUGAAAUUACACUAAUUAAAAUGUUUUAUUUAUUUCUCUAGUGUACUUACACAAAUCCUUUGAUGGCAGCAUUCCUUCUUCAGUCACUCUACAGCAGAUAAACAUAAUCUGUUCCUGUAACAUCCAGACAAGAGUCAAGUAACCUCUGUGAUUUAUCUGUGAUAUACUGCAUCUGCAUGUUGAGUUAGUAACUGAUGUAACUCGCUUUUUAUCCAACACAAAUGUUCCUAAAAUUAUCAAUAUUGCAAAUGGACAAAUAAAAUAGAUAACUUGUGUUUAGUUACUGUAUGUAGAUUUGUUUGUUUACAUGACUUACACUCAUCUCAAGCAGUGUUGUGAGUGAAUAAUAGCACACACACAUCACUCAGAUGCCUGUUUCAUGUCUGUUAAAUGUGCUCAUCUGCAAUACUUAUCAAAGAUGAUCCUGUCAGAUGAUAAAUAGACAAUUAGUAAUAGUCUUCAAGAUGUAUAUAUGGUUUAUGUAAAUCCACUUUUGAGUCGUGUACUUAAUUGAGCUCCCCUGUUAGUUAUUCAUUAUAAAACGUGUUUUUACAGCACAAUCACAAAUAUGCUAUAUUAUGUAAGUAACAAACAGGGUUUAGAUUAAGCCAGGAUCAGGCCAUAGCUCAAUUAAUCUUGUCUGUGAAACCGGAGGAUAGCGUCUUUACACCUUUUGCUUAUAUGUUGCUGACUUUACACCUUAGUUUUAAUAGAUUAUUAACUCCAAAAUCAAUACCACUGUAUGAAAAUAACUUGUACUCUUAAAUUUAACUAAUUAUUUCGUGAAAAAAUAUAUUCUCACCAUUGUAACUCAUUGUAACUGCUUUCCAGUUUAACGGCGGUUGGCAUCCAGCUUAUUGGUGCAAUACCGCCCUCUUCUGUCCCGGAGUGUGGAUCAGAUAAUAGGUUUUCCUACUAAACGUACACAUCACUCACAUUGUCCCCUAGCAUUAAUAUCUACACACACCUUAUGCAUCAAAUCCUGCCUAAAACCCCUGCUUCCCUUAAAAAACGUAAUCAAUAUUCUACUCUGUGCCCUAUUGAAAGCAGCCAUAUUGCCAACAACUUAUCAUUUUGACAUCUCGCGUGAUUCUGUGAGAUUUCGACAACUUCAAGUUACGCCUCCUACUUCAAGUUACGCCUCUUUCAAGUUACGCCCCUUUCUUGCAGUCUGCAGACGUACACGCUUGGCAGCCUGCGGUGGACAUCCAACCCGGCCCACAUCCAAGUGUGACGUCACAGACCACGCCCAUGUCAAAAUACGUCACAUUCUCAAUCAUUUUGAAACAGGAAGAAGAAGCAUCGAUAAGAAGAUAAUUUGUAUUGUUUUUUCAACCGCUAAAAAAGAAGAUGUUUGCCGUGUCGCAUUCUACACAUUUUCAGUCCAAGCCUGAUGCAGGGCAGUUCUCCCGGGUUAAGGGGUCCCUGCUGCAGUUUCACCAGUAAAGAAAAUUACUUGUUACAGUUCACUUGAAGGACCACAUAAGCCAUGCAGUGGUGCAUGGAGGAGCGCCAAGAGGACAUAAAGUGGAAGUUUGUAAGGGACAUUGGUCCAGCGUGGUACAGAGUCAUCGUGGGUUAUUCUGUGGGGAGGUGACAGGGCCUGCCGUUCUCCAGAUGGACAGUAAAAAUCAACAGAAUGCCAUCAAAAACUACCUGGAGGGAGAAUCGGAGGAUAUAUUGAAGCAAGAACUCUCUCUGUGUAGUCUAUGUAUGUAUGUGUGUGUACUGCAUGUCAAGAACUGUUUAUCUGAUCAUUCAGCUGCUCAUUCAGCUGCUCAGACUUUAUAAUAUUUGGAGCAUAUCUUUUGUUAAACACAACCAGUUAAGUUUUUGAACAGUGAGUUUUUUUAUGUUUUAAAGAAAUAUCUUCUGCUCAUCAAGCCUGCAUUUAUUUAAUCCGAAGUACAGCAAAAACAGUCCAAUUUUAAAAUAUUUGUAUAAUAUUUUUGCUAUUUAAAAUAACAAUUUUCUAUAUUUCUAUAAAAAUGAAAUUUAUUCCUGUGAUUUCAAAGGUGACUUACUCCAGUCACAUGAUCAUUCAGAAAUCAUUCUAAUAUGCUGAUUUGAUGCUCAAAAAACAUUUUAUUAUUAUUAUUAUUAUGUUAAUACACUGAAGACUGGAGUAAUGAUGCAGAAAAUUCAGCUUUGAUCACAGGAAUAAACUGCAUUUUAAAAUACAUUCAAAUAGAAAGCAGUUCUUUUAAAUUGUAAAAAUAUUUCACAUUACUGUUUUUGCUGUGUUUUGGAUCAAAUGCUGGCUUGGUGAGCAGAAGAGACUUUAAAAAAUAAUAAAAAUCUUACUGUUCAAAAACUUUUGACUGGUGGUGUAUAUUUGUGUAUAUUAUUAUUAUUAUUAUUAUUAUUUUUAUUUAUUUAUUUAUUUUUUGUAAAAUUGUUCAUGUGAUUAUUUUUGUAAAAUAAUAAAUAUAAAAAUACCCAAUGAAACAA
ensembl:lncRNA